GAUGAACGCUGGCGGCGUGCCUAACACAUGCAAGUCGAACGGAGAUUACGGACGGAAGUUUUCGGAUGGAAGACUGUAAUUCUUAGUGGCGGACGGGUGAGUAACGCGUGGGCAACCUGCCCUAUACAGGGGGAUAGCAGCUGGAAACGGCUGGUAAGACCGCAUAAGUCGGCGAGACCGCAUGGUGUUGCCGGGAAAUGAGCAAUCAGGUAUAGGAUGGGCCCGCGUCCGAUUAGCCAGUUGGCAGGGUAAAAGCCUACCAAAGCAACGAUCGGUAGCCGGACUGAGAGGUCGGACGGCCACAUUGGGACUGAGACACGGCCCAAACUCCUACGGGAGGCAGCAGUGGGGGAUAUUGCACAAUGGAGGAAACUCUGAUGCCGCGACGCCGCGUGAGUGAAGAAGUAUUUCGGUAUGUACAGCUCUAUCAGCAGGGAAGAUGAUGACGGUACCUGACUAAGAAGCCCCGGCUAACUACGUG
rnacentral:rRNA from 1 species